ensembl:misc_RNA
UGUCCUUUGGGUUCAUCUCAUCUGGCUGAGAGAUUAUUUCAUUCCUUUGCUGCUGCUUCUAACACUACCUUUGGAUUUCCCCCCCACCUUUUUUUAUGCAAAGAAUUCUACCCCUAAAUGAGACUGAAGAGGGAGGAAACAUUAGUCAUGUG